AUUGAACGCUGGCGGCAUGCUUUACACAUGCAAGUCGAACGGCAGCACAGCAGAGGUAACUCUGUGGGUGGCGAGUGGCGAACGGGUGAGUAAUACAUCGGAACGUACCCUGUUGUGGGGGAUAACUACGCGAAAGCGUAGCUAAUACCGCAUACGCCCUGAGGGGGAAAGCGGGGGACCCUAAAUAGAGCGCACUGGGGAGUGCGUUGUAUUUAGGGCCUCACGCAAUAGGAGCGGCCGAUGUCGGAUUAGCUAGUUGGUGAGGUAAAGGCUUACCAAGGCGACGAUCCGUAGCUGGUCUGAGAGGAUGAUCAGCCACACUGGGACUGAGACACGGCCCAGACUCCUACGGGAGGCAGCAGUGGGGAAUUUUGGACAAUGGGGGCAACCCUGAUCCAGCCAUGCCGCGUGAGUGAAGAGGGCCU
rnacentral:rRNA from 1 species